rnacentral:tRNA from 1 species
AUACAUCUAAUAUAUAAGUAUAUUUGACUUCCAAUCAAACAGACCAGACACCUGGGAUGUAUA